rnacentral:misc_RNA from 1 species
AUCUAUUACUAAUAAAGCUAAGUAAUCAUUAAUUAAUAAGAAGAAAGAUGAGUGAUGUAAUUUAAAAAAUAGCUUCUGUGUUAGAACCAAUGAGAAGAAGAAAAUACAAUUGAAUACCCCCUUCAUUAAUUCUGUUCUUGGCACAACCUAAUAUCCAAAAUUCUUGGAUCCUACUCAUUUUUGCCAAAAACUUCCCAGAAUUCAAAAGCUAUAAUUAUUGUCUCAGGCUUAAUUGGUACACUUACAGAUAAGUGCAAAUGGAAAUUUCACUUUUUUAUAUUGCAAAAAGAAGUCCUUGGGACAAUUGCACCAGCUGUUUAAGCACUAUCUGCAAAUAAGGAGUCACUCUCAGUCCUGAUUACCACAUUCUGACCUUGCCUUCUCAUGAAUAAAAAUUAAGUGUUGCCCUUGAUGAAAAAAAAAUUGGAGAAUGUUGUGUUGGACAAGUUUUAUCAGUCACAGAUUGGCAAAUAAUUGCACUAUAAUUAGAGUUCAGUGGUGCAAAGUUAGAGCUUGUCAAAUGUCAAGUAGUGGAAAUUAAUGAACAGAAGCAGCAUCUAACUUAAAAAGAAAUGCUGCAUGCAGCCUACCCUACCAAUGUCCUUGGUUAUUCAAGGACUGCAUAGGUUCUUGAGGUCAUCCUCCUUUGCAUACCAGCUUGGUAUAAUCCUUGCAGCAUAGGGAUAGAGGUCCUUGUAGGAAUUCCUAAUGGUCCCUUCUGCUACUCCUGUAGACAGUGAUAUAUCUGCACACACAGCAGGGUUCUGCCAUAGCCAUUACAAAGAAAAAGAAAGAGAACAAAACUAGAGGACAGAACUAUGUUUCUAACCUUUGAGAAGUUUCUUGUCCUCGGAGAGCUGAGUUAUAAUGUAAAUAAUGGCUGCUGCUAUUGAUAUGGGGCUUCGCCUGUAAUAGUAAAAACGAACAAGAGGUUUCUUAAGCUUAUUGGAAUGGACUCUGUUUUUAGACCAAAAAUGCCUUCAUAUAGCAUAGAAGAAAUUAAAUUCAGGCUAUGAAUAAAAGCAUUGGAAUUCUGCAAUAUCCCGAGAAAGAGGAAUGCUAGUGUCAGCUGCAGGUGACAAGACUGAUGCAUCUGGACUACUGAUUCAUAUGCAGAUGCACUAGCACUCCUCACCUGAGAAACUAACCUGGAGUUUUACCUUAUAUCGAGCUCUUCAGAUUUCUGUACAGCUUCCUGAGCUGCUUUAACCGCUUGAUUGUUCAUCCCAAGAUGAGAACAAAAACGUCUCAGAAAGUCUCCAGCAUGUAUUGUUCCCAUUUCCAUGGACUGACCCAGCUCCACCUCCAGUUGCUUCACAAUAUACUCCUUUGCACGGCCAAUCUCCUUCUUUGUGGCUCCAUUAGCUACUGAACAAAUUUCUAGCAGGAAUUGACAGGUCCAGAGAGUUACCGCAACAAAAAUAUGUAAUUUUCCAAGGAUUUUUGCAUUUGCCAAGGAAUUUAAUAAAUCUAGCUAUACCUUUUACGGUCCGGGGUUUGUCUUCUUGUCUACAAGCAAUGUAAAGGCAGGCAGCCAAAAUUGCAUCCUGAUUUCGUCCUCUGAGAGGUUUUUGAUCUUCUACUUUCUUAUAAAUUUCAUUAGCUCUAUCCUUUAUGGUUGCAACAAGGCCCAACCUGUCAGACAUGGUAGCAAUGGUCUUAAACGCUUGGAUAAGAGAACGAUCGGGGUUGGAGCCACGGUUCUGCCAGCGGCCCAAAGAAGUGGUCAAGAAAUCCCCAGAAGCCCCAGUUGGUUUAGAAAUGACGGUAGAAAGGCCACCGUCGGCAAGAAGAGGAUUAGAGGGACCACCAACACGAACAGGGUCAUUAUCAGUAGACUCGUUGGCAAAGGUUCGCCACUCGGAGGUCUCAUCAAUGGAAUGGGCCUCCAAGACGAGGCCACACUCAGAGCAGACGGUGUCACCGGCGGAGUGGUCGAAGACUACUUCGGUAGGACGCUUACAGUCCGGGCAGUAGGUGUCAGCCAUAGGAGAUGUUGAGUGGUGGUUCUGAUCAUUAUCUAUUUGGGUAAGUAAUUUUUUUUUUCUUUUUAGGAUAUUUUGUUUUCAAGGUUUCGUUUAGUUCUG